GCAGGUGCAUUAGAAGGAAUGUAUAGGAUUACCUUCAGGCCAUAUGUAUACGGUAUAUAGGACUCAUAAAGGAGCUAUAGAUUCAGGGCCAUCCCCAAGACAUCUCGUUAUAUAUAUGCAAAUAUCUCCCAAUUCUCCUGCGAAAAAAGAAUCCCGAAUCUGAAACACUUAUGAUCCCAGGCAUUUUGGAUAAGGAUACUCAGCCUAUACCUACCCCCUGUAUAAAGUAGUGAGAGAGUUAAGAAGAGAGUGAUGACAACUGCUUACUCCAUGACAAGUGCCAAAAGGGGAUCUCUCGUUGGCACUGUUCACACCCCCAUUGCACUGCUCUGUCCUCUGUUUAACAUGGGCUUUGCCAAAUGUGUGGGAACAAGGGCAAGACCUGUCCAGCUUGUGGCCUUGAAUGUCACCCCAUCCUUCUCUGAUGUCACAAUCUGAGCUGCAGCCCGAAGAUGUGAACUCUUAACAACCCCUGAACCCAGCCCCCUCCUCCCACAGGCUUCUUACCACCCACCUGCACAUCACAUCUGGGGCCUCUGUCUCCAUCCUACCCUUCCGUGAGCCCGUGCAAGUCCAGUUCCAAGUCAGUGCCAACUCAGGACAGCGGCUUCAGUGUGAGGCCCUCGCUCACCAGGGGAUUAACCCGUCAGGCUGCCAAAUGAGAAGGGAAAGAGCAGGCGCAGGCCCUGACAAGAGGCCCAAGAUGCCGUCGAAAUCAAAACAAAUCCACCUGCUUAAGGAAGACUCGGCCCGCACAGCGACCUCGCCCUACAGACGUCUGUGGCAAGUGCUCUCCUCGCAGCCCCUGAUGUGGCGCUUGCCCAUUUACGGCUGCCUGAUCGCAGUAUUUCUCACGAUUGUGUUUGCACUGUUGUACAACAACUUUAUGUAAUCAUCGCUUCUCACGCCGAAUAAAACCUUUGCACCUGAAA